AUUGAACGCUGGCGGCAGGCCUAACACAUGCAAGUCGAGCGGAUGAAGGGAGCUUGCUCCUGGAUUCAGCGGCGGACGGGUGAGUAAUGCCUAGGAAUCUGCCUGGUAGUGGGGGAUAACGUCCGGAAACGGGCGCUAAUACCGCAUACGUCCUGAGGGAGAAAGUGGGGGAUCUUCGGACCUCACGCUAUCAGAUGAGCCUAGGUCGGAUUAGCUAGUUGGUGGGGUAAAGGCCUACCAAGGCGACGAUCCGUAACUGGUCUGAGAGGAUGAUCAGUCACACUGGAACUGAGACACGGUCCAGACUCCUACGGGAGGCAGCAGUGGGGAAUAUUGGACAAUGGGCGAAAGCCUUAUCCAGCCAUGCCGCGUGUGUGAAGAAGGUCUUCGGAUUGUAAAGCACUUUAAGUUGGGAGGAAGGACAGUAAGUUAAUACCUUGCUGUUUUGACGUUACCAACAGAAUAAGCACCGGCUAACUUCGUG
rnacentral:rRNA from 1 species